UACGGAGGGUGCGAACGUUAAUCGGAAUCACUGGGCGUAAAGCGCGCGUAGGCGGUCUGUUAAGUGGGAUGUGAAAUCCCCGGGCUUAACCUGGGAAUUGCAUUUCAAACUGGCCGACUAGAGUACGGUAGAGGGAGGUAGAAUUUCCUGUGUAGCGGUGAAAUGCGUAGAGAUCGGGAAGAACAUCGGUGGCGAAGGCGCUCUACUGGACCACAACUGACACUCAGGGACGAAAGCUAGGGGAGCGAAUGGG
rnacentral:rRNA from 1 species